GCGCAUAUGGCGGAAUGGUAGACGCGCUACCUUGAGGGGGUAGUGGGCCUUGUGCCCGUGGAAGUUCAAAUCUUCUUAUGCGCA
rnacentral:tRNA from 2 species